UUUAUAUAGUUUAAGGAAAAACACUAGAUUGUGAUUCUAGUAAUAGAGAAUAACUCUUAUAAACC
rnacentral:tRNA from 1 species